rnacentral:rRNA from 1 species
GACGAACGCUGGCGGCGUGCUUAACACAUGCAAGUCGAACGGAAAGGCCCUGCUUUUGUGGGGUGCUCGAGUGGCGAACGGGUGAGUAACACGUGAGUAACCUGCCCUUGACUUUGGGAUAACUUCAGGAAACUGGGGCUAAUACCGGAUAGGAGCUCCUGCUGCAUGGUGGGGGUUGGAAAGUUUCGGCGGUUGGGGAUGGACUCGCGGCUUAUCAGCUUGUUGGUGGGGUAGUGGCUUACCAAGGCUUUGACGGGUAGCCGGCCUGAGAGGGUGACCGGCCACAUUGGGACUGAGAUACGGCCCAGACUCCUACGGGAGGCAGCAGUGGGGAAUAUUGCACAAUGGCGGAAGCCUGAUGCAGCAACGCCGCGUGCGGGAUGACGGCCUUCGGGUUGUAAACCGCUUUCGCCUGUGACGAAGCGUGAGUGACGGUAAUGGGUAAAGAAGCACCGGCUAACUACGU